rnacentral:tRNA from 1 species
GUCCGAGUAGCUCACAUGGUUAGAGCGCAGGUUUGAAAAACCUGAGGAAGUGGUUCGAUUCCACUCUUGGACA